rnacentral:rRNA from 1 species
GCUGCCCAAAGUGCGAGGUAAACUCCUCGUAAGGCUAAAUACAACCCCAAUACCGAUAGCAAACAAGUACAGUGAUGGAAAUUUGAAAAGAACUUUGAAGAGAGAGUUAAGAGUACGUGAAACUGUAUGGUAGUAAACGCAGCCUUCCUCGAAGUUUCCUCGUGUGGAUCCAGCCUAAGAGCGGCGGGUGCCCCGGUCUGUGCUGAGCAGCAAUGCCNGCUGGNCUGGGUGGUCUGCCUGUCGUGUCGCGGGUGCAUCUUCACACGUUGUUACUGUAGGAACCGUUGGCGCCUGCUCCAAAGGCCUGGGAUGAAGUUUCAACUGUCUGUAGUGGGCGGUCGAAGCUCCCGGUGUCCUGGCGGCGGGCCCGACGGGCAUUAUGGCCGACUUGUAUAGCAAGCAACCGCUGCUGUUGCGGUUGGCCAUUCCCUACAGAGUAGGUCGGCGGAGGCUGCGACCCGUCUUGAAACACGGACCAAGGAGUCUAACAUGUGUGCGAGUUUUUGGGUUGUCUAAACCCGGAAGCGCAGUGAAAGCAAAGGGCUGCCCGUCAGCCUUAGGGGAGAUCCUUAACCGGCGCAUCCCC